ACGAACAUUAUGGAAAACGAGAGUUGCGGAUUUAACGGGUUCGUAUACGCCUAGAAACCUACUCACUAGCAAAACCCUAACUAUUUAAGAAAACUCUACCCUUACCCACCCCUAUUUUGUAACUACACAAAACACAUCUUUGUGUGUAGAUAUUGGAGAGAUCGAGAGAGAGAUAUGGAGAUCAAGAGAGGAGCCGGUUAAACCUCAGCAUCCUAGCAUCCUCUGGUAGUAUCCGAUGACCGACGACCGACGACCGGCCGUGGGUGGCCCCACGCGGCGGCGCAAGGCGGCAACAGUGGCCGCGUGACCUUCUUCGAUGAAAUCAACGACGGUCCAGGGACCAGCGGCGCACAACCACGAGGAGGCAGCCCCCUUCCUUUCCCUGCGAUCGGUGGUGGCGGGUGUGGUGCUGGGGCUGUGUUCAGGCAACAGAAGAGAGAAACGAGAGGGGGUGAUGUUGGUGGGCGAUGACAAGGGAUGUGCGGCGGCGCGACCUCCCGGCGGACUGGUGGUUCCAAAGAAACUCCGGUAGAUCGGUAGUGGCUGAGGUGGUUGUUUUCAGGGGUGAAGGUGGCCGCUGGCGGCGGAGAUAACGUUUGACCACCGGAUGAGCAUGGUGGACGGUGGUGGUCACUCGGUUUCGAUGUUGGGUGGCUUUUGUGUCACGAGUUAGGCUGGUCAACCGUACAGAUCUGGUCAAACUUCGGGUCAGGUCGACUCUCGGUCAAUAAAAGUCAACGAUGGUCAAAGUCUUAGUCAGCUGGUCGUAUUUGAGUGGCACGCUUAUCGAGGAAACCUUUUUCGUGUCGGUCUUGAGCGGUUAAUUCGAGUAGGUAACGACGCGCAUCUGUGUAUUUGAAAUUUGAAUACAUUAUCUUAUAUUUUGUUUAACGUGUGAAAAGCCGAGCUCUAGAACCCGACCCUACUAAGUGAAACUGUUGUGUAAUAUAUACAUAUUGUAUUCACGUGAUGCUUGAACAUUUGGAAUUGUAUGUAAAUAUAAAUUGUAGAAUAUAUUUGUAAAUAUAAACUUGAACCGAGACAUUUAAAUUA